rnacentral:rRNA from 1 species
GACGUAGGGUGCAAGCGUUGUCCGGAUUUACUGGGCGUAAAGAGCGCGUAGGCGGCUCGUUAAGUGAGAAGUGAAAGCUGUGGGCUCAACCCACAAACCGCUUUCAUACUGGCGAGCCUGGAGUGAUGCAGAGGUGGAUAGAAUUCCCGGUGUAGCGGUGAAUGCGUUGAUAUCGGGAGGAAUGACCCGUGGCGAAGGCGGCUUCCUGGCCUGUUCUUGACGCUGAGGCGCGAAAGCUAGGGAGCAAACGGG